CAGGCAUCAUGCUGCCCCACAAAACCAAGCGAGAGGCUGAAGGUGUUUACGUAUCCCGCCCUAUGACGAGGCAUCAUGCUGCCCCACAAAACCAAGCGAGGACAGGCUGCUCUGGAGAGGCUGAAGGUGUUUACGUAUCCCGCCCUAUGACGAGGCAUCAUGCUGCCCCACAAAACCAAGCGAGGAGAGGCUGAAGGUGUUUACGUAUCCCGCCCUAUGACGAGGCAUCAUGCUGCCCCACAAAACCAAGCGAGGACAGGCUGCUCUGGAGAGGCUGAAGGUGUUUACGUAUCCCGCCCUAUGACGAGGCAUCAUGCUGCCCCACAAAACCAAGCGAGGAGAGGCUGAAGGUGUUUACGUAUCCCGCCCUGUGACGAGGUGAAUCUCAAUUAACAUCAAAGGGCCACAAUAUCGCCCCGUUUGGCCUAUACAUAUUAAACUCUGCCGUCUGAUGAGAUUUACCGUACCAGCCUUUUUUGAAAAACUAAUGGGAAGAAAUGCAAUAUCUGAGACAUCAUAUAUCAAUAUCUGUCCUAUCAAUGAUUAGAUGCAAUGUGCGUCUGAAGCCCACUCGCAAGGUGAACUUAAAUAUUUGAUUUCAAUGCCGACUCAAAUAGGCUUUUGAGUCACAUGUGGAUUUGAAUUGUAGAAUUGGCAAAUAAAUACAAUGAUUUAAUUUA